GUGAGUCAUCGAAUCUUUGAACGCACCUUGCGCUCCUUGGUAUUCCGAGGAGCAUGCCUGUUUGAGUGUCAUUAAAUUCUCAACCCCUCCAGCUUUUGCGAGUUGUGAUGGGGCUUGGAUAUGGGAGUUUGCGGGUCCUUUAUCAGUAAAGGUCGGCUCUCCUGAAAUACAUUAGCGGAACCGUUUGCAGUCCCGUCACUAGUGUGAUAAUUAUCUACACUGUGAUGAUUGCUCUCUGACUAGUUCAGCUGCUAAUCGUCCGGUAUGGACAACAUUUAAUGAACUUCUUGACCUCAAAUC
rnacentral:misc_RNA from 1 species